rnacentral:rRNA from 1 species
GACGGAGGAUGCAAGCGUUAUCCGGAAUGAUUGGGCGUAAAGCGUCCGCAGGUGGCAGUUCAAGUCUGCUGUCAAAGACCGGGGCUUAACUUCGGAAAGGCAGUGGAAACUGAACAGCUAGAGUAUGGUAGGGGCAGAGGGAAUUCCUGGUGUAGCGGUGAAAUGCGUAGGGAUCAGGAAGAACAUCGGUGGCGAAGGCGCUCUGCUGGACCAUAACUGACACUCAGGGACGAAAGCUAGGGGAGCGAAUGGG